GGUAAAUCGGUUUAAUUUAUGUUGAAUGUUCGAAGUGUAGGCUUGGGGAUAAUGAGUCAACUACGUCUUUGUUCCAGUAUCUAUACAAAUUAAGAUCUAAAAAGUUUGCCUUUUCUGUGUUUUUCGUAUAAUAUUGACAAUAAAGUAUACGAGAAAGAAGAAAAUCUAUUGAAAAAAGAUACUGAAAUCUACUUUACAACAGUCUGGAACAAUUGGAUUCAAGAACACAGAUCAUUAUUACCGCCAAGAAACAAUAGUGGCUACGUGUACAUGUGCCUGAGAGAUAUGGCUUAAAUAAACUGAAUGGUGUUACAAUUUUACAUGGUUGUUUAUCUAAGUUAUACAAAAAAAUGUUCAAUAUACAACAGAAAAUGUCGAAGCUCAGAUAAAACUGGAAAUAGAUGUAAUUGACUGUAAUAAAUAUUAAAAAAGUUU
rnacentral:lncRNA from 1 species